rnacentral:rRNA from 1 species
UACAGAGGUCUCAAGCGUUAAUCGGAAUCACUGGGCUUAAAGGGUGCGUAGGCGGACUCGCAAGUGCUUUGUGAAAUCCCACGGCUCAACCGUGGAACGGCUUGGCAGACUGCGGGUCUCGAGGUUGGUAGGGGCCGCCGGAACUCUAGGUGGAGCGGUGAAAUGCGUAGAGUAUCUAGAGGAACGCCAAAGGUGAAGACAGGCGGCUGGGCCAAUUCUGACGCUGAGGCACGAAAGCGUGGGUAGCGAACGGG